rnacentral:lncRNA from 1 species
UGCGCAUCUUACUCGAGAAUUGCCGCAUUUCUCUCGGCAAAUUCGCGCGACACGCUUCCUAAAUUCGUAUACCUAGAUAGGUACCUAAGUAAAUAUAUAUGUUACACGUUACGAUCGAACUCGAUUCAACGCUAUCUAUAUAUACACCUGUGCAUAUGUUACGACCAAUGUGUAUUUUGCGGAAUGCCCAGAGGGUUCCGGUCAAUAUAUAAUAUGCGAUUCAGUGGUGUGUGUUUAAAGCAUGGGGGAGGGAGUAGAGGGGGAUUUUAAACAAUUGUAAGUGAAACAAACUAUAGAAAUUUAAAAAUCUCAGCUUUUCAAGUAAUUUUAAAAAACAAUUACGUACACUCUUAUGUUUAAGACCAAUUCUUUAUGUUCUCAUUGUAAGACUAAAAGUUUUUAAGAAUUGUUGAUCCACCAUGUAUUCUCUUCAAGUGAUUACUCGUUUUCAGAAUUAUUCGUUAUACCUAUAACUUGAUUCAGUCGAAGUAAUUGAGGAAGUGUUAAUAUUAUCCACGAAUUAUGAUGGCAAUUUAUAUUUAGCUUCGUGUAUCGAUCAUACUUGGGUUUAAAUUUUAAGGUUUAUUAGUAUUUAGGUUAUUUUGAAAAA